rnacentral:misc_RNA from 1 species
CGUGGUUAAUCAACGGCUCGUCUGAAAUGCUUCAGUGUACCCCGCUUUGCGGCGUAUUCGGUGUGAUAAAUCUUCACCGGAGUUGAUCCUUUUGGGUCGCGUCUGUAAUUGGUGUGGCUCUAUGCUUCCAACCGUCUAUUGGGUUAGACAAUCUCUGACAAUUUGACCUCAAAUCGGGUGGGACUACCCGCUGAACUUAA